rnacentral:lncRNA from 1 species
CCCGGCCUUCGGGUGGUUAUUUUUCUGCGCGGCUUUGCCCGCGGCCUAUUUUUGGCACACGGAGGCCCCUCGCAAAGUCUCGCGGCAUUCCGUGUCCGGCGGACGAAGUUGGCCAGCCCCACCCCCCAAGGCUACAGCCCACUCGUUUUUGUGGCCUUUUACCGCUGGACGACCUUGACGCCCCGGCCUUCGGGCGGUUAUUUUUGGGCGCGGUUUGCCCGCGGCCUAUUUUUGGCACACGGAGGCCCCUCGCAAAGUCUCGCGGCAUGCCGAGUCCGGCGGACGAAGUGGGCCAGCCCCACCCCCCAAGGCUAUAGCCCACCCGUUUUUGUGGCCUUUUACCGCUGGACGAACUUGGCGCCCCGGCCUUCGGGUGGUUAUUUUUAGGCGCGGUUUUGCCCGCGGAUUAUUUUUGGCACACGGAGAUCCCUCGCAAAGUCUCACGGCAUUCCGAGUCCGGCGGACGAAGAUGGCCAGCCCCACCCCCCAAGGCUAUAGCCCACCCGUUUUUGUGGCCUUUUUCCGCCGGACGAACUUGGCGCCCCGGCCUUCGGGCGGUUAUUUUUGGGCGCGGCUUUGCCCGCGGCCUAUUUUUGGCACCCGGAGGCCCCUCUUAAAGUCUCACGG